rnacentral:rRNA from 1 species
AGUUUGAUCAUGGCUCAGAUUGAACGCUGGCGGCGUGCCUAACACAUGCAAGUCGAGCGGCAGCACGGGGGCAACCCUGGUGGCGAGCGGCGGACGGGUGAGUAAUACUUUGGAAUCUGCCUAUCAGUGGGGGACAACCCGGGGAAACUCGGGCUAAUACCGCAUACGUCCUACGGGAGAAAGCGGGGGAUCGCAAGACCUCGCGCUGAUUGAUGAGCCAAAGUCGGAUUAGCUUGUUGGUGAGGUAAUGGCUCACCAAGGCUACGAUCCGUAGCUGGUCUGAGAGGACGACCAGCCACACCGGAACUGAGACACGGUCCGGACUCCUACGGGAGGCAGCAGUGGGGAAUAUUGGACAAUGGGGGAAACCCUGAUCCAGCGACGCCGCGUGGGUGAAGAAGGCCUGCGGGUUGUAAAGCCCUUUCGUUGGGGAAGAAAAGUUGCUACCUAACACGUAGCGACCUUGACGUUACCCAAAGAAGAAGCACCGGCUAACUCUGUGCCAGCAGCCGCGGUAAUACAGAGGGUGCGAGCGUUAAUCGGAAUUACUGGGCAUAAAGCGCAUGCAGAUGGCUUUGUAAGUCGGAUGUGAAAUCCCCGGGCUUAACCUGGGAACUGCGUUCGAAACUACAAGGCUAGAAUGUGGAAGAGGGAAGCGGAAUUCCGGGUGUAGCAGUGAAAUGCGUAGAUAUCCGGAGGAACAUCAGUGGCGAAGGCGGCUUCCUGGUCCAACAUUGACAUUCAGAUGCGAAAGCGUGGGGAGCAAACAGGAUUAGAUACCCUGGUAGUCCACGCCUUAAACGAUGCGAACUAGAUGUCGGAGGGUCAGCCUUUCGGUGUCGCAGCUAACGCGAUAAGUUC